rnacentral:lncRNA from 1 species
CCUGGCCUGGUAACAUGCCUUGGGACCAUCCUGGGCACCAUAGGGCUCCAAGUCUGUCCAAAGUUCAUAUGGAAAGAAAAAAGAGCCUGCAUCGCCAAGUCAAUCCUAAGCCAAAAGAACAAAGCUGGAGGCAUCACGCUACCUGAUUUCAAACUAUACCACAAGGCUAUAGUAACCAAAACAGCAUGGUACUGGUACAAAAACA